UGCAAACCAGCACAACAAAGGCUCCCUUAUUCUCUUUCUCCCAUACCGGUCUUAUGCUCACUGAAGCGGCAACUGUUUAAUCGUUUCGCGGUAUGAUUUCGGACGGGACAGCAUCCAGACUUAAACCGGCAAAAAAGAGAGAGGACGAGAUCACUGAAGUCAAGUAGUCUGGCUUGAGAAACGAGACCCAGAGUGAGAGAAAAUAGAAGGCGUUCGGUUUAAAAAAAAUCUCUGCAAUGAUGCAACGAAGGGAAGUCAGAUGCUGUAGUGCAGUUCGAGAAGGAAAAUUAAUGUACAUUUAAUGCUUUUCACGUAACGUUCCUGCGAGAUGCCUUUCUCGUCUUCUCACACCGAAUUUUAAAGCUUCCUCAUGGAAACCCCUCUGAUGGGCGCAAAAGAGCACUCGACCUUUUCAGUCCGAAACGGAACAGUAACAUAACACGCAAAGCGCUGUCGGAAAAGAGGGAACACGCCAGCUUCGGAUCAAGGGGGACCCGAGAGCUGUCCAGAGUGGAGGUGCUGAAAAUAACAAACGGCGGGUAGUGAUUCCGCGUAGUCCCCGCAGAACAACGCGUUUGGAAACUAUCAAAUUCCACUUCGGUGAAAUUCCAAGGCUGCAAUUCAAUAGACUGUCACCAGAGGAGCUAUCCAGCGGCACAGUAUUAGAAACUCCCUAUUAACGGCUGUUAAACUGUGUCUACAAAUUAAAAGUAGGCUUAUUUUACGCUUAAAAGUCUGCUUUGCAGAUUCUUCCCGCUUGCGUCUUUUUGAAGAGAUUCUGCCUGGUGAUGUUGAUUUUCAAAAACAGGAGGCUAUAGGCAGCACUAUUCGGAUUAAUCUCCCACCCACGUCAUCAUUUUUUGUUUUCUGUAAGUACUCCAAUCUUUGGCAUACCACAGCAUUUUAUAUCCCUUUCGUUUGAAAUUCUUAGUCAUAGCCUUACUGCCUGAGUUGGUGGCGAGGUUAAACUGCCGUCUGUCCCUUUCAUUCAGCGAUGCUGUUGUUGUAGCUAUGGAAUUUGCUGUGUUAAAUCGAUAGUGCUACACUAAGAAUGACCCUAUGGUCUUCCUUAAACCAAGGACAAUUUCCCCGAUGAGCGAGAAACAACUGCAUUUCUUUGAAAGUAUAUAUAUAUAUAAAAUAUAUAAUCAUUAAGCAAGAAAAGUAAUUGCACAAUGUUCGCGGGAGAAAGAACAAAUUCAACCGGUCUGUAGACCUCUUUAUUAUUAGUGUUUUGUGCACUGUGUGAACUGGUAACUUUAUACUGAAGAGUACAGCAAUGUAAAACAACACACGCAGGCAAAUCACAUCCGUGAGCUAGUUCCACAUCUCAGCAUUUAUACUAUAACAGCUACUGCAUUAAAAAGCAGGGGCUGUGAAACAGCAGGAUUUUAAAAGAAACGGAAACAUCUAUAUCGAUAUUGGUCUUAGAAAUCAAAUUCAAUCUGUAAUGCAGUGUGAUCGUUUUUGUUCUGCUAAAUGGAGAAAAAAUUUGCUUUAUGUAUUUGCAUUUUGCAAUGUAAAAAUGACCAUUUCCCCCCGUGAUAUUUGCUUGUCUUUAAUCCCGUGCUUCUUGGUCGUAUAUACAGCCUCGUCAAAUUAAGACAAGGGUGGGAAUCUGUUGCUGUCGCUAUUUUUCCACGUUCGCAAAUCACAACAGUUGUCACAAUCGUUGUCUAUGCCUUUUGUGUGUCCCAGUGGUGUUGUCGGUGCGUGCAUUUUUGUGUGUUGACUGCGAAAAUACAUUUUUAUCUGUUUUCACCUCUCAUAAACUCCUUGCCAUUCUGCCAAAACGCAUAAUCCAGACAGGGCAGGAUCCUCUUAAAUAAUUCAAUGCUGGCGGUGUAAUUUUAGUGGAAACAGCGCGGAUUUCCAAGUCGUGACUGCGAGAGUGAGUAAUGCGCGUUGGCUGCUGCAUCAGGGGCUCCAGUCACUGUACAUUCGAAACAGAGGGGAAAUCGUGACUUACUUGAGACGUCCGUAAAUGAAAAGACCACCCAAUCAAAACAACACCAGGGUGGUAUCGGGGCUGGAUCUUUUUUUUCCUCUACUGCCCUUGCACCAAGUUGUAGAAGGGGAGUUGGGUGAUCCAGAAAUACAGAAUUACCAAGAUCGUGACCCUCCCACUCAGUACAGUAACUUAUAUACAAUUCCAGAGAAAGGGAUACCGGGCUUUGUAAUGUUUUCUGACUAAAAGAAAACACAAAACUAUAGCAUGGCCUUGCAAGGAAAAGGACUAGGAAAUGGAUCAAAAUGGCUACAACAGCAUUGCUGUUCGUGUGGUUGGUGUCCCCGGAGCUCCCCAGAAGUUCAGCGGUGAAGACUCAGAAAGGAUUCCAGGAUCCUAUAUAUCCACAGCUUUCUCCAGGACACAGGUAAUCUGAUCAGCUCUGGACAUCACAGUGCAGUUCUCACCCUUGGCUGAAUGUGAGGGUAUUUCCUACGGGCUUCCUGUCCUGCAUGCUGGGAUGACAAAAACAACAGACCCCAUUGCAUUAGAAAGUUAGGAAGAGAUCCACACUGGCUUCGGGGACACCAGACUCCAUGUGUCUGGAGAAAGGAGACUGCCAUCUUGCAGGGGAUGUAUGUGGCCCAGUCAGGGGUUGAAAAGACAAAAACAUGACACUCUCUGGUGAAAUAAACCCAGAUGCCAGCAUCAGAGAAAACUUUCCAGCGAUGCAGUCCUUACUGGAAGGUGAUAUCUGACUGUCAGCUCUGAUGAAUUGUUACAGUCGAGGGAAGGAUCUUCACGCUAACAGGCAAAAUUGUUCCAAGAUCAAGCUCUCAAGACUGAUGUUUGUUUUAAUAUGAUGUAUAAAUUAUCCGUCUGUUUUUUUGACAGAAAGCAGCAUCCUCGUGUGUUCUGGAUCUGUCAUGUUUGUUUGUAUUGAAACAAGAAAAUAUGUGGACAUUUCUUUGACAAAGUUGUUUUUUAAACUCAGCUAUCAAGAAUAAACGGCUCCAUUGUGUUCUGGUUUUAAAAUGACUUGUGGUUUGCCAAUAUUUUGUGUUUUAAUUCCAUGCACACUCUGGUCA